CCGCAUCCACACGGGAGCCCGAUGCAUCGGGCUGAGAUGGGGCUGAUGCCGCCCCGACCGUCGAACCUGCUCCGGAUCAUGCCGGCGAAGGAAGUGAGAUCGACGUGUUG
rnacentral:ncRNA from 2 species